rnacentral:lncRNA from 1 species
UCCCCCGGGGCCAUGUUCCAUGUCGAUGACUACGAAGUCGUAGCCAGAGAAAGCGACGAUCUCAGCCAAAGUGGGGGAGAAUGAGAGGAGGAAGAUGCCGUAGAGGGUUUCGCCGUUGCGGAGGCGAGAUUUGAGGGAAGGCGGGGAGGUAGAAGGAGAGGGAUUAGGGGAGCAUUGGAGAGGGGAAAGAGAGGAGAAUUUGGUGGGGAUUAAGGGUUUCAGUGAGGAAAUGGAAGGCCUGAAAGAGGGAAAGGAGAGGGAUUUGGAAGAAACGAAGGGAAUAGGUUUUCCGUUGGAAAUUUUCCGGGCUCCGGCAACGGCACCUGCGG